AGGAAAAAUGAGAGACACCCUCCUGAAUUGCUAAAGGCUAAUUGACUUUAAUGCUCAUCCUUCCUUUCUUCUCUCUCAUCGUCGAUCCUGCUCCACACUGACAUCAAUAAUGCCUCUUCCUCUCCUUGUCUGUCGGUCCUUGCCUUGCAUCACUCGGACUCACCGACCUCUCAUUGAAUAUGUCUCACCAACAAAGAACUUGAAUCAAAUUUAAUGAAGCCAUUGAAGGUUUAGGGCACAGUGUGAAGUAAGCCUCGAUUCGAUGUGAGUGGGUUCGACCCAUGGAGGUCUCUAACCUCAUCUUCAUUUGAGCAACAUGAUCAAAAGCAUAGUGCACCAUUGGUAAGGAGGUAUUCCAUCUCAACCUCCUCGGUUCUACGACAUUUAGAGCUAUCCAAACACUCCAUGGCCUCCAACAUUCACCGAAUGGGUUUUCAUUCCGUCUGUGCUGCUUCUUCUUUCUCUUUCAACAUGUUGGAUGAAUAACUUUAGUUUUUAGUUUUUUCUCGUGAGAGUUUCCAUGUCUACUCUAUGCUAGUGUUUUUAAUGACUCAAUUUUUAGUCCGCAAUGUUUAUUGGGUGCAUAAUUCUAGGAAGCACAGGAUUGAACAGAGUUAAAUUGAACAAACCAAUCUUGGCUUGUGCAUACCAAAAGUCUCAGGUUGUUUCCCAUGCAUUGGACAUGCAGUUCAGGGAUGAUCUUGAGCGUUUGAAGAAAAUAAGGUUGUUCAUCUGCUACUGAACUUGUAAGCAUGCUUUUUUAUGAGUCUCUUGCCACAUCCAAGCAGUGUUGAUCAUUCUUUUUUGUUAUGUGACUAUAUGAUCGGGCGUGCUAUGAUUGAUUGGAGGCAUGAAUGGGAUUUUUUUAGCAGUUAUUUGUUUUUUUUUUUUUUUUGGAAAUCGAUACCUGCUUGAUUUCAAGAAGUUUCUUUCAUCUCAAAGAUGUUAGUAAAAGAAGUAUUUGCCAUGAUUAGUUUAAAACUGCAGCAGGUUACUUGAAUGUCUUCUCCACAGGCUUUUCCGAAGGAAGUACUGCUAUAGUUCAACUUGUUAUAUUUGAUGAUCAAAUUGGCUGCCUCGUUUAUCUAUUGUUCACCGGUUUUAACUCUCAUUUGUUUGGAUCAGGAUUCAAUAGAGAUAUGACUUAAAAGCAUAAGCAUUUUUCUAGUGUCUUUGUCAUCAUGAAGGUUUGUUUGACAACGAUUAUGGUUCUCUGUAAAUAAGCUAGAAAAGGAUGAAAAGGGGUUGAAAUGAAGCACGCUUAUUGUCCAGGUUUUUUUCGGUCCAUCUUGUUGUUCAAGUUUAGUUGUCAAAGUUAUGUUGCCCAUUGCCCACGACCAGAGACAUUGGGUUCGCUUAUGUGGCAUUCUUCUUGCUUUAGUGGUCACUUUCCUGCUUAACAUUUUGUCAUGCAUCCAUAGGCAGCAACAGGAAGCAGAAUUGGAGUUGAUAGAAGAAGAGACUACAAAGAGAGUAGAAGAUGCAAUUCGUAAGAAAGUUGAAGAGAGCUUGAAAUCUGAAGAAAUUCAAGUGGAGAUUCAAAGACAAUUUGAAGAGGGAUGAAAAAGACUAAUCGAUGAACUUGCGGCUCAACUCAAGAAAGAAAAGGAAGCUACUCUUUUUGAGGCUAGGUGGAAGCCGGAAGGAGGUAUAAAUCCGGAUUAUCAAUUCUUUUUUACAGCCAUUUGUUCAAGCAACGAUUGGGAAUUGUUGGAGUUGAAAGCUAUGCUACUAAAAGCACAAUUGGAACCACACAAAAAGGCCUUGUUUGAUUGUAAAAGACGGACCAUUUGUAAUUUUAAUUUUUAAUAAAAUGAAGUUUAGUUCAAUUUUCCGUUUA